rnacentral:rRNA from 1 species
AUUGAACUCUGGCGGCAGGCCUAACACAUGCAAGUCGAGCGGAUGAAGGGAGCUUGCUCCUGGAUUCAGCGGCGGACGGGUGAGUAAUGCCUAGGAAUCUGCCUGGUAGUGGGGGAUAACGUCCGGAAACGGGCGCUAAUACCGCAUACGUCCUGAGGGAGAAAGUGGGGGAUCUUCGGACCUCACGCUAUCAGAUGAGCCUAGGUCGGAUUAGCUAGUUGGUGGGGUAAAGGCCUACCAAGGUGACGAUCCGUAACUGGUCUGAGAGGAUGAUCAGUCACACUGGAACUGAGACACGGUCCAGACUCCUACGGGAGGCAGCAGUGGGGAAUAUUGGACAAUGGGCGAAAGCCUGAUCCAGCCAUGCCGCGUGUGUGAAGAAGGUCUUCGGAUUGUAAAGCACUUUAAGUUGGGAGGAAGGGCAGUAAGUUAAUACCUUGCUGUUUUGACGUUACCAACAGAAUAAGCACCGGCUAACUUCGUG